UACGGGGGGAGCAAGCGUUGUUCGGAUUUACUGGGCGUAAAGGGCGCGUAGGCGGCGCAACAAGUCAGUUGUGAAAUCUCUGGGCUUAACCCAGAGCGGUCAACUGAUACUGUCGUGCUAGAGUGCGGAAGGGGCAACUGGAAUUCUCGGUGUAGCGGUGAAAUGCGUAGAUAUCGAGAGGAACACCUGCGGCGAAGGCGGGUUGCUGGGCCGACACUGACGCUGAGGCGCGAAAGCUCGGGGAGCGAACGGG
rnacentral:rRNA from 1 species